AUUGGGAUUCUCCCUUCGUGCGGUUGUCUGGGACCUUUUUCCAGGGUCAAAGCAGAUCGUGAGGAGGAAGCUGGUAGGGUGCAGCCUGAGGCUUGUUCAGCAGAACAGGUGCAAGCCACAUUGUUGCCAAGACCUGCCUGAAGCCGGAUUCUCCCCACUCCCUCCUUCAACCCCGCCUCUUCCUCCUCCUGUGGGACUGCUCCCCCUCCCGUGAGGCUAGAUAGAUGCCCUGUAUCCAAGCCCAAUAUGGGACACCAGCACCAAGUCCAGGACCCCGUGACCACCUGGCAAGCGACCCCUUGACCCCUGAGUUCAUCAAGCCCACCAUGGACCUGGCCAGCCCCGAGGCGGCCCCCGCUGCCCCCACUGCCCUGCCCAGCUUCAGCACCUUCAUGGACGGCUACACAGGAGAGUUUGACACCUUCCUCUAUCAGCUGCCGGGAACAGUCCAGCCAUGCUCCUCAGCCUCCUCCUCAGCCUCCUCCACAUCCUCGUCCUCAGCCACCUCCCCUGCCUCUGCCUCCUUCAAGUUUGAGGACUUCCAGGUGUACGGCUGCUACCCCGGCCCC
rnacentral:sRNA from 1 species